CCGUACACCACCUCCAUCUCCCUAAAUAAGGUAAUAUUCCGUACACCACCUCCAUCUCCCUAAAUAAGGUAAUAUUCUGUACACAAUCUCCAUCUCUCUAAAUAAGGUAAUAUUCUGUACACCACCUUCAUCUCCAUAAUUAAGGUAAUAUUCCAUACACCAUCACCAUCCCCUAAAAUAAGGUAAUAUUCCAUACACCACCUCCAUCUCCCUAAAUAAGGUAAUAUUCCUUACACCACCUCCAUCUCCCUAAAUAAGGUAAUAUUCCAUACACCACCUCCAUCUCCCUAAAUAAGGUAAUAUUCCGUACACCACCUCCAUCUCCCUAAAUAAGGUAAUAUUC